UGGCUCAGAGCGAACGUUUGCGGCGGGCCUAACACAUGCAAGUCGAACGCACUAGCAAUAGUGAGUGGCGCACGGGUGCGUAACACGUGGGUAAUCAACCCUUCAGCUUGGGAUAACGACUUGAAAGGGUCGCUAAUACCGGAUACGGCGCGAGAGGCUUCGGCUUCUCACGAGAAAGCCUCGCAAGGGGCACUGAAGGACGAGCCUGCGGCCCAUCAGCUAGUUGGUGAGGUAAGAGCUCACCAAGGCUAAGACGGGUAGCUGGUCUGAGAGGAUGAUCCGUCACACUGGAACUGAGACACGGUCCAGACUCCUACGGGAGGCAGCAGUGGGGAAUUUUGGACAAUGGGCGCAAGCCUGAUCCAGCCAUGCCGCGUGAGUGAAGAAGGCCUUCGGGUUGUAAAGCUCUUUCGGCCGGGAAGAAAUCGCAUGGGUUAAUACCCUGUGUGGAUGACGGUACCGGAAUAAGAAGCACCGGCUAACUACGUG
rnacentral:rRNA from 1 species